CGAAGGUGGCAAGCGUUACUCGGAAUUACUAGGCGUAAAGCGCAGGUAGGCGGUUCGAUAAGUCUUUUGUGAAAGCUCCCGGCUUAACUGGGAGAGGUCAAAGGAAACUAUCGGGCUAGAGUGUGGUAGAGGAUACUGGAAUUCCCGGUGUAGCGGUGAAAUGCGUAGAUAUCGGGAGGAAUACCUAUGGCGAAAGCAGGUAUCUGGGCCAUCACUGACGCUGAGCUGCGAAAGCUAGGGGAGCAAACAGGAUUAGAUACCCUGGUAGUCCUAGCCCUAAACGAUGCUCAUUAGAUGUGGGGGGUAUCGACCCCUUCCGCGUCGUAGCUAACGCAUUAAAUGAGCCGCCUGGGGAGUACGGCCGCAAGGUUG
rnacentral:rRNA from 1 species